rnacentral:tRNA from 1 species
UCCUGGUGGCUCAGUGGUAAAGAAUCUGCCUGCUAUGCAGGAGAUACAGGUUCAAUCCCUGAAUCAGGAA